CCCUCCGGGGUGCAGCAGGCGGAUAUGCUCGCCAUCGGCGUCUCCCGCCGCGUCGAACAAGGCCAAACCAUCUUCCUGGCCGGAGACAAGGCAACAGGCUUUUAUGUGGUUAUAACGGGAAAGGUGAAAAUCUACAAGCUCGCACCGGAAGGGAAGGAGCAGAUUCUUCAUGUCUUCGGCGCCGGUGAGCCCUUUGGGGAAGUACCCACCUUCGCCAAUGCCGUUUUUCCCGCCCAUGCCGAAGCAAUCGAAAAAACCCAGCUCCUGUUUUUCCCCCGGGAGGCUUUUAUCAGGCAGAUCCGCCAAGAUCCCGAUCUGGCCAUGGGGAUGCUGGCCACCCUGUCCCGCCGCCUCCUGCACAUGACCAAAUUAGUAGAGAGC
rnacentral:rRNA from 1 species